AGUGAACGCUGGCGGUAGGCCUAACACAUGCAAGUCGAACGGCAGCACAGUAAGAGCUUGCUAUUACGGGUGGCGAGUGGCGGACGGGGGAGGAAUACAUCGGAAUCUACUUUUUCGUGGGGGAUAACGUAGGGAAACUUACGCUAAUACCGCAUACGACCUACGGGUGAAAGCAGGGGAUCUUCGGACCUUGCGCGAUUGAAUGAGCCGAUGUCGGAUUAGCUAGUUGGCGGGGUAAAGGCCCACCAAGUCGACGAUCCGUAGCUGGUCUGAGAGGAUGAUCAGCGACACUGGAACUGAGACACGUGCCAGACUCCUACGGGAAGCAGCAGUAGGGAAUAUUGGACAAUCGGCGCAAACCUGAUCCAGUCAUACCGGGUGGGUGAAGAAGGCCUUCGGGUUGUAAAGCCCUUUUGUUGGGAAAGAAAAGCAGCAGGUUAAUACCCCGCUGUUCUGACGGUACCCAAAGAAUAAGCACCGGCUAACUCCGUG
rnacentral:rRNA from 1 species